rnacentral:rRNA from 1 species
GGGUGACAGCCCCGUACACAAAAGCGCAUGUGCUGUGAGCUCGAUGAGUAGGGCGGGACACGUGGUAUCCUGUCUGAAUAUGGGGGGACCAUCCUCCAAGGCUAAAUACUCCUGACUGACCGAUAGUGAACCAGUACCGUGAGGGAAAGGCGAAAAGAACCCCGGCGAGGGGAGUGAAAAAGAACCUGAAACCGUGUACGUACAAGCAGUGGGAGCACAGGUUUACCUGUGUGACUGCGUACCUUUUGUAUAAUGGGUCAGCGACUUAUAUUCUGUAGCAAGGUUAACCGUAUAGGGGAGCCGGAGGGAAACCGAGUCUUAAUUGGGCGUUAAGUUGCAGGGUAUAGACCCGAAACCCGGUGAUCUAGCCAUGGGCAGGUUGAAGGUUGGGUAACACUAACUGGAGGACCGAACCGACUAAUGUUGAAAAAUUAGCGGAUGACCUGUGGCUGGGGGUGAAAGGCCAAUCAAACCGGGAGAUAGCUGGUUCUCCCCGAAAGCUAUUUAGGUAGCGCCUCGUGAAUUCAUCUCCGGGGGUAGAGCACUGUUUCGGCUAGGGGGCCAUCCCGGCUUACCAACCCGAUGCAAACUGCGAAUACCGGAGAAUGUUAUCACGGGAGACACACGGCGGGUGCUAACGUCCGUCGUGAAGAGGGAAACAACCCAGACCGCCAGCUAAGGUCCCAAAGUCAUGGUUAAGUGGGAAACGAUGUGGGAAGGCCCAGACAGCCAGGAUGUUGGCUUAGAAGCAGCCAUCAUUUAAAGAAAGCGUAAUAGCUCACUGGUCGAGUCGGCCUGCGCGGAAGAUGUAACGGGGCUAAACCAUGCACCGAAGCUGCGGCAGCGAACGUAUCACCCAAGACAACUUUACGGAGUUGACGAUUGACGGAGCGAAGCGACGUCAAAGCGUUCAUUAAAGUCGAGUUGGCUUAGGGAUACGUUCGUUGGGUAGGGGAGCGUUCUGUAAGCCUGUGAAGGUGUGUCGUGAGGCAUGCUGGAGGUAUCAGAAGUGCGAAUGCUGACAUAAGUAACGAUAAAGCGGGUGAAAAGCCCGCUCGCCGGAAGACCAAGGGUUCCUGUCCAACGUUAAUCGGGGCAGGGUGAGUCGACCCCUAAGGCGAGGCCGAAAGGCGUAGUCGAUGGGAAACGGGUUAAUAUUCCCGUACUUGGUGUUACUGCGAAGGGGGGACGGAGAAGGCUAUGUUGGCCGGGCGACGGUUGUCCCGGUUUAAGCGUGUAGGUGUGUGUUCCAGGUAAAUCCGGUUCACUUUAACACUGAGGCGUGACGACGAGGCACUACGGUGCUGAAGCAACAAAUGCCCUGCUUCCAGGAAAAGCCUCUAAGCAUCAGGUAACAC